AAAGGGAGACCUAAUUCAGGUAGGAGACGAAAAAAAGUAGUCCCUACCAAGAAUCAAUCCCAAAAGGUCGGAGCGAGGCGAAAUUGGCUUUCAAACUAGGUUCUGGGUUCAAACAAGACCUGAAUCAGGAACAAGGGCUAUUAGCUCAGGUGGUUAGAGCGCACCCCUGAUAAGGGUGAGGUCCCUGGUUCGAGUCCAGGAUGGCCCACCUGUACAGGUGGCAAAAAGAAAGAAAAGAAGCGAGGAAUCAGCACCUUAUCUUACUUAUAUAGUAAGAGAGAAUGCUGGCUCUGAGUUCAGAGUCCAGAGGAACCUUGAAAACUGCAUAGAGCUAGGUGAAAAAGCCAAAAAAGAAGACCGCAAG
rnacentral:tRNA from 1 species